rnacentral:tRNA from 1 species
GUCUUAUAUAUUUUUGGGUUGAUUCCCCGAGAGAGCGUAAAUAUGCAUAGGAUA